GAGGCAGUAGCUCUGUGGUGCAGCUCCUGCUUUGCAUGCAGAAGGUUCUGGGUUCAAUCCCCAGCAGCAUCU